AACGAACGCUGGCGGCAUGCCUAACACAUGCAAGUCGAGCGAGACCUUCGGGUCUAGUUGCGCACGGGUUCGUAACGCGUGGGAAGCUUCACUUAGGGUCGGAAUAACUUCCCGAAAGGGGUGCUAAUAGCGGAUGAUGUCUUCGGACCCAAAAUGUAUCGCCUUUGGAUGGUCCCGCGUUGGAUUAGCUAGUUGGUAGGGUAAAAGCCUACCAAGGCUACUUUCCAUAGCUGGUCUGAGAGGAUGAUCAGCCACACUAGGACUGUGACACGGCCCAGACUCCUGCGGGAGGAAGCAGUUGGGAAUAUUGGACAACGGGCGAGAGCCUGAUCCAGUCAUGCCGCGUGAGUGAUGAAGGCCUGAGGGUUGUAAAGCUCUUUUACCCGGGAUGAUAAUGACAGUACCGGGAGAAUAAGCUCCGGCUAACUCCGUG
rnacentral:rRNA from 1 species